CAUGCCCCACUGCGGCCCCCGCUGAGCUGGAGUCCGCUGGGCUCCGGGAGGAGCUCCGGCUGGGUCCAGGCCCCCUCGGCCGCGGCCCGUGCGGCACACGCUGUUUUUAGGCUAUCGCUGGCCAGCCUGGACAGAAACGUGUGGGAGAGCGCUUGUCCUCGGAAGCACUUGGUUGCUCACUGAGAUGUGCUAGACACCUCACAGCUGAGGGCUGUGGCACAGAGCGUCACCAGCUGCAGCGCCAUGCGCUUCUGGCAGGAAUAUGAACAGCUUUCAUCAUCCUUGGUUCUAUUUUUCAGGCUCUUUGCUCUUGAGCUGUCAAUGCAGCGUGAACUGGGAGUGAUGUCUUAGCCGUUCUUUGAGCAAUACAUCUUAGGACACCGCUGACUGUGCUUCUGGCCAGCAUUUCUGCCUGGCACACAGUACUUGACCAAAAGAAUUGGAAAAUGAGUAGUAAAUCCAGACAAGAAAUUAGGGAGGAGGAAAACCUACUGAACUGCAGGCAAACCAGAGGCACAUCUAGACAACUGCUAGACUCCACCGUGAACUAAGGACUCAGCUUUCUGCCUUUCUCACUGCCGGCCUCUACACACAAAUGCUCCCUUUCCCAUUCAUGUUUUGCUUCCAGCUCAAGUCUUCACCUGUUCCACAUCCUUCUGCACCAUCAGCAAUCUCUCUUCCUCAAAUGAACUGAAUCCCACUCUGUCUCAGGGUCUUAGCACUUUCAGGCAAUUGCUGCAAGAAAUGGUUCUAAGCCCUGCAUGGCUCUACAUCUGCAAAUGAACGCCUGGUCCUGCUGAAACCUGUGCAAAAUUUUGGUUAUUUUUGGUAUGGUGAUCAUUACUCCAACUCCCAGCACAGGUUGCUCAUACCAUGUACAGACUGAUUACACUACACGUCAGAAGGGUCGUCAUCGUUUGGAGCGUUACUUGUAAUAGCAACACUUUUCCAUUAAUAAAAGAAAUACUUCUUCCA